UACGAAGGGUGCUAGCGUUGUUCGGAAUCACUGGGCGUAAAGCGCGCGUAGUCUGUUAUGCAAGUCAGGGGUGAAAUGCCAAGGCUUAACCUUGGAACUGCCUUUGAAACUGCAUGACUAGAGUGUCGGAGGGGAUAGCGGAAUUGCUAAUGUAGAGGUGAAAUUCGUAGAUAUUAGCAGGAACACCGGUGGCGAAGGCGGCUAUCUGGACGACAACUGACGAUUAGGCGCGAAAGCACGGGGAUCAAACAGG
rnacentral:rRNA from 1 species